GAUGAACGCUAGCUACAGGCUUAACACAUGCAAGUCGAGGGGAAACGACAUCGAAAGCUUGCUUUUGAUGGGCGUCGACCGGCGCACGGGUGAGUAACGCGUAUCCAACCUGCCCAUCACUUGGGAAUAACCUUGCGAAAGUAAGACUAAUACCCAAUGACAUCCCACGAAGACAUCUGAAUGGGAUUAAAGAUUUAUCGGUGAUGGGUGGGGAUGCGUCUGAUUAGCUUGUUGGCGGGGUAACGGCCCACCAAGGCAACGAUCAGUAGGGGUUCUGAGAGGAAGGUCCCCCACAUUGGAACUGAGACACGGUCCAAACUCCUACGGGAGGCAGCAGUGAGGAAUAUUGGUCAAUGGGCGAGAGCCUGAACCAGCCAAGUAGCGUGCAGGAUGACGGCCCUAUGGGUUGUAAACUGCUUUUAUAAGGGAAUAAAGUGGGUCUCGUGAGACUUUUUGCAUGUACCUUAUGAAUAAGGACCGGCUAAUUCCGUG
rnacentral:rRNA from 1 species